UACGAAGGGUGCAAGCGUUACUCGGAAUUACUGGGCGUAAAGCGUACGUAGGUGGUUUGUUAAGUCUGAUGUGAAAGCCCUGGGCUCAACCUGGGAAUUGCAUUGGAUACUGGCAAGCUAGAGUGCGGUAGAGGAUGGCGGAAUUCCCGGUGUAGCAGUGAAAUGCGUAGAGAUCGGGAGGAACAUCUGUGGCGAAGGCGGCCAUCUGGACCAGCACUGACACUGAGGCACGAAAGCGUGGGGAGCAAACAGG
rnacentral:rRNA from 1 species